rnacentral:rRNA from 1 species
GACGAACGCUGGCGGCGUGCUUAACACAUGCAAGUCGAACGGAAAGGCCCUGCUUGCAGGGUACUCGAGUGGCGAACGGGUGAGUAACACGUGGGUGAUCUGCCCUGCACUUCGGGAUAAGCCUGGGAAACUGGGUCUAAUACCGGAUAGGAGCCAUUUUUAGUGGGAUGGUUGGAAAGUUUUUUCGGUGUAGGAUGAGCUCGCGGCCUAUCAGCUUGUUGGUGGGGUAAUGGCCUACCAAGGCGGCGACGGGUAGCCGGCCUGAGAGGGUGGGCGGCCACACUGGGACUGAGAGAAGGCCCAGACUCCUACGGGAGGCAGCAGUGGGGAAUAUUGCACAAUGGGCGCAAGCCUGAUGCAGCGACGCCGCGUGGGGGAUGACGGCCUUCGGGUUGUAAACUCCUUUCGCUAGGGACGAAGCUUUUUGUGACGGUACCUAGAUAAGAAGCACCGGCUAACUACGUG